AACGUAGGACGCAAGCGUUAUCCGGAGUUAUUGGGCGUAAAGCGCGUGUAGGCGGCUUUGCAAGUCGGGUGUGAAAUCCCACGGCUCAACCGUGGAAGUGCACUCGAAACUGCGUAGCUAGAGUCCUGGAGAGGAAGGUGGAAUGCUUGGUGUAGAGGUGAAAUUCGUAGAUAUCAAGCGGAACACCGGUGGCGAAGGCGGCCUUCUGGACAGUGACUGACGCUGAGACGCGAAAGCGUGGGGAGCGAACAGG
rnacentral:rRNA from 1 species